AUCACUUCAGCUGUUCUGGCUUGUUGGAGCACAACAGUUCUUGAAGGGACUCUGCAUUGUAUAAUGAACUGUCGAAACAAGUUUAAAAACAGUGAAGAAUAUGGAGGAACUUUGUAUAAAUUAUAUUAACUUUAAACUGGAUAUUUCAGCAGCUAGCGGAGUGUUGAUGGAGAAACUGAAAAUUGAGGAAGCAUAACUUACAAGAACUCAAAAAUUGAUGUCUCAUUCCCUGAUGGGAUGGUGAGAGAGGACAACUCUCCUUUUGGUUGGAUCUUUUGAAUCUUCAGAAGUAUAGGUCACCAUCUGAUUUGUCCAAGCCAGCACCGUCAAGAAGAGGAGCCAAGUUGGAUCACCCAGCAGAAAUUGGAUAAAAUGGUCCAUCUCCUUCAGCACAUUGCUUUCUCAAAGCUGAAGACACCUGGAAGAGAGAAGACUGAGGUCCUCGGCCAGCCACCUUUGAGUUCUCCUGGUGACACUUACAAUAUUUAUCUUGGAUAGGAACUUUCAAAUGUCUCUUUUUAUUUUCCAGCAAUUUGGGUUGCCCAUUAGCCCACUGGGAAAAGACUAUAGUUGUGUCUGUCCUUCACUCCACCGGUUUUUGCAGUGUCAGCUCCUGCUCUGAAUGAUAACUGAGCUGAAAGCUGAUGGAUGAACAAGAUCUCAUGAUAAGCAACACACAGACUUCCUCUCAGGUGAUAACCCAUAUCAGCGAAUUGAUUAGUUCCUGAAACUGAGUACCUAAUUAGCAAGGAAAUGGAGCAUUGGAGAGAGAACUUCCCUCGUGAAUCACUUUCGGCGUUUAAUCUCUGACGGUAAUUGGUCUUGAUCACCAUGAGAGCAGAGGAUCCAAUCUCACAAUGGUACGUUGUGGAGAAGGGCAUCAGGAACUUGACCGCCCAUUGUGACAGGUUCAGGGGUUACAUUGCGACAGGCUCCACAGUCCAGUGGGAAUCAAGCUGGUUAUUGAUCUAAUAGCAUACCUGCAAAUGCGGCCUUUGAAUGACUGGCAACCUUCUUCUGCAGCAUGUGUAUAUUGACAGUUGUUGGGUCUGCUAAAGUCAUCCUGCCAAUGUCCUCGUCUUCAUUGGAUGUCCUCAGUUACUGCAUGUGCUGCUCCAUUUUCCUUCCUGGGGAGCCCCUUUGUGGAGGACUAGAACAAGGCCUAUGCAACAUUUAUGUUCAACUUGGAUCCUCACAAUAUGGCGUCAGUGGGAUUUAUAUGGUGCCCUCAGCACAGUGAAGAAUUUCACCCAGAUUGUCUAGAAUCUCGCCCCCAGACCACCGCCCAGAAAGAUCUGAAGAAUGGACAUAAAUGGAGAUGGAAACUUCAUGUCACCUGAUGAAACCACCCAUUGCCUAGGUUGAGAAUAUGUAGCAGUUAGAACACAACUAAAUCCCCCAGAUCUGGCCACCUCUGAAUUUUGGGAGAGUUUGGAUCAAGAUCAGAACUGUACAGGUGACCCUAAGCUUUUUAAUGGUCUGAGUCAAAAGCCUGGCUCCCAAGCUUUCCUCCUUUGGGGAAGUUCAGGUCCACUUCUGAAUCGAUGACUCCAGCUCAUCCCUCUGAUUUUUCAUUUAUCAGAGGGUGAGAUUAUUAAAAGCACUCAUCUCUGCUCCUAUUAAAAUCAAUAAUAAAGUAACAGGAGCAGAGUUAGACCAAUGCUGAGCACUUUUGAAAAUCUCACCUAUAUUGAUCAGUGACGGACAAAUCUUCCAACACCCGUAGACUCAGCCAAGAAAGCAUAAAGAGAUUCAGAGGAUUUAGAUUCUUUGGUUUCUGAAAAUGGACCAGAAACCCAGGAAGAUCAGACUCCCACAUGAGGUUUCUGCUGCUUCCCAUUUCUGGUCAAGUUAGGAACAUAGCGUACACACAGAAAACCACAGGACUGCCACAUCUAAGGACAUGGGGAGGGAUAGUCAAAAGUGUCUAUGUGACGUAGGCUCUUUCAAUGGUCCAAGAUUGUUCUACUGUUUGAGGGAAUCUCAGAGAAGGUACAUCCAGAACUUGUGGAUUGGAGAGACAAUGAGAAGGGCAAAAGAGGAAAAGCUCUUGAUUCCAAAGAGUUCUGGAAGUCUUUGGGACUCUGGCUUGAGUAAGGACUGCAGGGUUGGGCUACCACCCUUACUAAAUGAACUUUGCAUAACCACUGUGCCCCGAGAUUAAGACCAAGUGAGGCAGAUUUAAUACAGGAGAACAACAACCUUCUGAAAAGUGGCCUUCAUUGAGAAUUUGAUUUUCUGCAACACGUGACAUCUAGGUCCGUGGAAUGAUGUGUCCCCCAAAGGCUGUCACCAUUGACCUUGCUGAAAUGGCAUGCUGUAGUACAAAGGACUGGAAUGGGUUUUUAUUAUUCUAUAAACAUGGCCAAACACAAGGAGAAGAGAGGGGGCGGGGGGAAGAUGAAAUAGUAAAGUGGUUUGGAAUCUGCAAUGAAGUGUGGAGUCUGGUGCCUGGCCCAGGACUUUGUUUUAAUGAAAGCCGUUUGACACACAUCUAGCUGAGUGGCAAAAGUGCACCCUCUAAAUGGUCGGACUUUCUGGCUGUAAUUUAUGUGUAUUUCUUGGAUGUGGCAUAGUAAGGGCCAGAUGGUUCUGUCCUGCCGUCAUGCAAAGCCAGGGGCUGAUCGGUCAAGUUCCACUCUUCCAUUAUUUUCUCCAUUUGCUGAAAGAAUAGAGACAUAUCCUAUGCAGGGGGAUUUUUUUUUUUUAUAAAAAAAAGAGCUAUUUUGCCCUUCAAAUUCAAAGCCUUUUUUUGUGUGUCAACACUGCUCCUGCUUCAGAGUAGCAGCCAUGUUAGUCUGUAUCCGCAAAAAGAAGAACAGGAGUACUUGUGGCACCUUAGAGACUAACAAAUUUAUUAGAGCAUAAGCUUUCGUGGACUACAGCCCACUUCUUCGGAUAAUCCUGCAUUCAUAUUCGCUGAGAAAUCAGCCCUUGUUAAAGGUUCCUAAGAGGGAUGAGCCUCUUUAAACUUUGUUGGGGUCUACUCAUAUGACACACAAGUGCAGGCUGAUGCUGGAUAGAAAGCCGUUCAUAGACCAUUAUUUGAUUUGACCCUACUGAGGAUCUGAAUGUAUAGCAUUAGGUGAAUGCUGCAAAAAAUAAAUUCCUUUAAAUAAAAAACAUGGUUUUGUUCCCAUGGUAUCUGUGAUC